AGAUCGCAGCUCAUGAGAGAAGUGCUCUAGAUAAUUGGAUCAAGGCUCAGGUUUGGGAGAGGAAGAUAGUGCAGCAGAGCAGGGAGAACGCCUAUGUGAAACACAGACUGCACAUGGUGAGGAGAGAGACGCUGCCCGAGGGAUCCAUGAGGCAGGAACCGAUGCCGGGAAGACCUGAGACACAGAACCGUGUGC